rnacentral:ncRNA from 2 species
GUUCGUCUUCAGGGGCAGGGUGAAAUUCCCGACCGGUGGUAAUAGUCCACGACCCGUUUCUUCGGAAAUGGCUGAAUCGGUGAAAUUCCGAUACCGACAGUAAAGUCUGGAUAAAGAAGAUAGGG